rnacentral:rRNA from 1 species
GACGAACGCUGGCGGCGUGCUUAACACAUGCAAGUCGAACGGAAAGGCCCUGCUUUUGUGGGGUGCUCGAGUGGCGAACGGGUGAGUAACACGUGAGUAACCUGCCCUUGACUUUGGGAUAACUUCAGGAAACUGGGGUUAAUACCGGAUAGGAGCUCCUGCUGCAUGGUGGGGGUUGGAAAGUUUCGGCGGUUGGGGAUGGACUCGCGGCUUAUCAGCUUGUUGGUGGGGUAGUGGCUUACCAAGGCUUUGACGGGUAGCCGGCCUGAGAGGGUGACCGGCGACAUUGGGACUGAGAUACGGCCCAGACUCCUACGGGAGGCAGCAGUGGGGAAUAUUGCACAAUGGGCGGAAGCCUGAUGCAGCAACGCCGCGUGCGGGAUGACGGCCUUCGGGUUGUAAACCGCUUUCGCCUGUGACGAAGCGUGAGUGACGGUAAUGGGUAAAGAAGCACCGGCUAACUACGUG